rnacentral:rRNA from 1 species
AUGCCGCAGUGCCGCCUCCUCCUGGCUGCCGUGGCCCUUUUGGGGGCUGUGGCGGCGGCCGUGGCGCAGCAGCCGCUCGCGUCGCCGUCGGACCUGGCGGGGCUGUACAGCCUGCGGGCGUCGCUGGGUUUGCGGGCGCGGGAGUGGCCCGCGAGGGCCGACCCGUGCACGGCCUGGGCGGGGGUCAUGUGCCGCGCCGGCCGCGUCGUGGGCGUCAGCGUCGCGGGGUUCCGCCGCACCCGCCUCGCGAGCCGCGCGCCGGCGUUCGCGGUCGACGGGCUGCGGAACCUCACAGCGCUCGAGCUCUUCAACGCCUCCGGUUUCCCGCUCCCCGGCGAGGUGCCCGCGUGGUUCAGCCGCGACCUCCCGCAGCCGCUCGCCGUGCUCGACCUCCGCUACGCCGCAGUCAAUGGCACGCUCCCGCCCGAUCUCGGCUCAUCGGGGAAUCUGACUAGGCUGCUCCUCUCCGGGAACAGCCUCUCGGGCCAGGUUCCGGAGACGCUGCUCUCCGUCAAAGGCCUUCGCGUUCUUGACCUCUCCACCAACAAUUUCACCGGGGAGCUACCCAGCGUCUCGGUCGGCGCCGGUGAUGUAGCGGCGUCGUUGUUUAACAUUUCAGGGAAUUCUCUGUAUGGUGUGGCCACUGAUGCCAUUGGGGCACUCAAGACGAGAUUCCGGCUGGUGGACGUGUCAAGCAACUACCUCGAUGGAAAUUGGAAUGGAUCCGAUGCAACGGUGGAUGUUAGCGUGAAUUGCUUCUCUGGUGUCUCCGGUCAGCGCCGCCAUGUUGAUUGUGAAGACUUCUAUAGGAGGGAAGGGGUGAGACUUGUUGAUAUUCCAGUGCCUGCACCUUUGCCUCAGCCAUCACCGGAGAAGAGCCGUGGGAUCUCCAAAAAUGUACUUAUUGGGGUUCUUGCAGCCGCGGCAGCAUUGAUGGUUAUGUUUUUGGUUGCAUUGCUUUUCUGUUUGAUGAGGAGGAGACAAAGAGGAGGUGGGAGAGGGGCGGAAACAAAUGAGGAAGGUGCACGCGGCAUGCGUAGGAGGGACAGCAGCGUAAAUCCUGUGGCCUCAUCACCGGCAGCAGUGUCCCCGAGAGCCGAUGCUACUCCUAAGGACGCGAUUACCGUUUUUGGUGAGUUGACCUAUGAGCAAUUGGUCCAUGCCACCGGGGGCUUUGGUGAUGACAACCUCCUCAAGCAUGGGCAUUCGGGGGAUAUUUACCAUGGUGUGUUGGAGAAUGGCGCACAUGUCAUCGUCAAGAAGAUUGGUACAAAGAGUAUCAACAAAGUUUCAAGCGAAUUGGACUUCUAUUCGAGGUACUCACAUGAGAGGAUUGUUCCGUUGCUCGGCCAUCUGGCCAACAAUGACGAAGAAUUUCUGUCCUACAAGUAUAUGCCAAAGGCGGACUUGACCAAUGCAUUGCACAAGAAACCUGUGGACACUGAAGAUGGCUUGCACUCAUUGGAUUGGAUAACUAGACUGAAGAUCGCCACUGGUGUAGCUGAGGCCAUGUGCUUCCUUCAUGACGAGUGCAGCCCACCAUUCGUUCACAGAGAUAUCCAAGCAAGCAGUGUGCUUCUUGAUGAUAAAUUUGAAGUGCGACUCGGAAGUAUGAGUAACAUAUGCGCUCAGCAAAGUGCAGGAAGCCAGAAUGUUUUCUCUCGGAUCUUGAGAUCAUCAAAGUCUCUUGACAAGAACACAUCAGGCCCACCAGCAACUUGUUCAUACGAUGUUUACUGCUUUGGGAAGGUGAUCCUUGAGCUAGUAACAGGCAAUUUUGGUGUAAGUGGAUCAAACGAUGCUGGCUCCGAGGAGUGGCUGGCGAACACAACAAAUCGCAUCAGCAUCAGUGACAAGGAUAGCAUUACUAAUAUCAUCGAUCCUUUACUUGUCGUUGAUGAGGACCAUCUUGAAGAAGUAUGGGCAGUGGCGAUCGUCGCAAAGACGUGCCUAAACUCAAAGCCGUCAAGGCGUCCCUCUGCUCGCUACGUCUUGAAAGCCCUGGAGAAUCCGCUGAGGGUGGUCCGAGCGGGUUCCCGGUCCAACUCCGCAAGGCUCAGGAGCUCGUCAUCGCGGAGCUCAUGGCAGUCUACUUUUCUUCAGGGCAGUCGUUACCAGAGCUACGAGGUCAUGUCGCCAUCAGGGCGAAUGCUUGAUCGCAGAGGCUCGGUUAGGUCACAUAUUAGUGGGGGAGAAGCUUCCUCGUCCUUCAAGAGAUCUUUGCGGGAGAUUGCUCCAGACCCGCAAGUGCUGGACGAGGACGUCGCUGUGUAG